rnacentral:pre_miRNA from 1 species
UCACCUGACAGUGUCAUGUUGAAAUUUAGUGUCUAUCUCUCUCUUCAUACUUAUUAAAUAUUUAUAAAGAGAGAGGUAGAAAUAAAGUUUCACAUGACAAUAUCAUUUGA